AAGCAAGGACAAGAGGGGGGAGGAAGGGGGGAGCCAAGCCAGACAAGCGCCUGAGUGAUAACUUGCCUGAACCCUUUGAUAAAUGAGUUGACUCUCCCCCCCCCCCUUUAUUUUUUUUUCCCCUUCAUUCGCCACACGCCAGGAACAGAAUUGGCCCCGAACUAGUGGAAUUGGCAGCAAAAAAACUAACAUACAAGUGUGUCUGGUCAAUAGAGCGCUUGUUCCUGCCUCUGGGUGCUGUGUGAGGACGCCGGCUGGAUGCUGGAGACACGCAAAGGGUUUUUCUUUGCUCGCCCCUUUCUCUCUUGCUCCGUCUUUUUAAAAUAUUCAUCAAUGGGGUGGGUAGUUUGCUCUAGUCAUUAAAAUAUCUCCUUCCCCUCCCCCUCGCUUGCUCUAGGACUGCCACUGUUGAGUCUGUGGGAGUAUGAAUCAGCAGCAGCAGCAGAGAAUGGCUGCAGUUGGGACAGACAAAGAGCUCAGUGACCUGCUGGACUUCAGUAUGAUGUUUCCCCUGCCAGUGGCUAAUGGAAAAAACAGACCCACGACCCUAGCGAGCACUCAGUUUGGAGGAUCAGGUUUGGAUGAAAGACCAGGAUCAGGUUCCUGGGGAACGGGAGAUCAAAACAGCUCCACAUUUGACCAAGGAAGGCAGAGCUAUGGUGAAGGCCCCCACUAUGGCGAGCACAGGGACCUGCCACCUCACAACAGCAUAUCUUCAUCACCAUUCCUGGGAGCUGGGCUCGUGGGGAAGAGCAGUGAAAGAACCUCGUACUCCACGUUUGGAAGAGACACAGGGAUGCCAGGACUAAACCAGGCCGGUUUCCUGCCCACCGAGAUGGGAAUCGCCAGUCCCAGCACACUUUCCCCCACCGGGGUGAAAGGGGGGUCUCAGUAUUUUUCUUACCCCAACAAUCCUCGCAGGAGAGGUGCUGACAGCAGCGUAGAUGGACAGCCCAAAAAGGUUCGGAAGGUGCCUCCUGGACUCCCCUCCUCGGUGUAUCCAUCCAACUCAGGUGACGACUACAGCAGGGAUCCAGCUGGAUAUACUCCCUCGAAACCUCCCAGCACUGUGUAUCCCGGAGCCUUUUAUAUGGCAGACGGGCUCCAUAACUCGCCAGACCUGUGGAGUUCUCCGGGUGCCAUGAGCCAGUCGAGUUACGGUGCCAUGCUGGGCAGCUCCUCCUCCCCACUCCCGCCGGCCAGUGGCUUCAACAGUUUACACCAGCACGAACGCAUGAACUACCAGCUUCAUUCAGGAGAGGUUAACGGCGGGCUCCCCUCCGUGUCUGGCUUCUCCUCUGCCUCCACGCCAUACGGUGUCUCCAGUCACACACCUCCCAUCAGUGGCACGGACAGCAUGAUGGGUAACAGAGGAACCACAGCCGGGAGCUCAGGAGACGCACUCGGGAAGGCACUAGCUUCAAUUUACUCCCCGGAUCACUCUAGCAAUAACUUCUCGUCAAACCCCUCCACACCGGUCGGCUCCCCUCAGGGGCUUGCAGGCACAUCCCAGUGGUCGCGAGCAAGCGGACAGGGUGCCUUAUCUCCCAGCUACGAAGGGAGCCUCCACACUUUACAAAACAAAAUGGAAGACAGGUUGGAUGAAGCCAUCCACGUGCUGAGGAAUCACGCUGUGGGCCAGACAGCCGCCAUGCCGAGCAACCAUGGGGACAUGCACGGCCUGCUGGGCUCAGCGCCGGCCCACAGUGCCACCGUGGGCAGCUUGGGCCAGGCCUUCCCGGCCUCAGUCAUGUCCCUGGGGAACAGGCACCCGAGUCUGGUGGGAGGAGGUCACCCAGAAGAUGGGUUGUCCAGCAACCCCAACAUGCUCCACAACCAUGUUACACUUCCAUCACAACCCAGCUCACUCCCUGACCUCAGCAGGCAGCAGGACACGUACAGCGCAGGCUUGUCAGGGGGGCUGGGGCGAAGCAGCGUCUCCUCGGGAACCAGCGAAAUAAAGAGGGAAGAGAAGGAGGACGAGGAGAACACGUCGGUGGCAGAUAACUCAGAAGAGGAGAAGAAGGAGCUGAAACCCUCCAGGAACAGAACAAGGUGCUCUUUGAACAGUCAAGAUGAGGAUGAGGAGGACGAUCUUCUUCCCCCAGAGCAAAAAGCCGAGAGAGAGAGAGAAAGGAGGGUCGCCAAUAAUGCCCGUGAGCGCCUGCGGGUCCGUGACAUCAACGAGGCCUUUAAAGAGCUCGGACGCAUGUGCCAACUCCACCUAAACAGCGAAAAACCGCAGACCAAACUGCUAAUCCUACACCAGGCCGUAUCAGUCAUACUGAACCUGGAGCAACAAGUUAGAGCAGUACAGACGAGGCCUUGUCACUGGAGGACAAAGAUCUGAGGGACCGGGAGAGGAGAAUGGCCAAUAACGCCAGGGAAAGGGUGCGUGUGCGGGACAUUAACGAGGCCUUUAAAGAACUGGGACGCAUGUGUCAGAUGCACUUAAAAACGGACAAAGCACAGACCAAACUGAUCAUCCUACAGCAAGCGGUGCAGGUCAUUCUGGGCCUGGAGCAGCAAGUACGAGAGCGCAAUCUGAACCCUAAAGCAGCCUGCUUGAAGCGUCGGGAAGAGGAGAAAGUGUCCGGAGUAGUAGGAGAUCCCCAGAUGACACUUUCAGCUUCACAUCCUGGUCUAGGAGAUGGUCACAACCCUGUUGGACACAUGUAAAGAUCUGUUUCUUCUUCUGGAUCCAGAGAUCUGUAGGAAGAAAACCCUCGGUGUGGCCUGCAACCUUCUCUACCCAUAAACUUUAGUACUGCUAAUACUGACACACGUGGACGGAUCCUGGCGUGACGUAAGGGGUGGAAAACACACACCUUGUCAAAAACAAACAAACAAAAAUUGCCUUAAGUAUAAAGUGCAGAACAGUCAAUACAUAUCACUCAGUUAGGAGGGGGUGGCGUGUUCUCUUGGCUUGUUCACAAGCAGCCAGCAGCAAAAUUGUGCCUAAGCUUGAUAUUUCUUUUUUAAAACAAAAAAAAAAGAACAUUAGUUAUGAGAUUUUUUUAUGUAGAACAAAUAGCAAUGCCUUUGGGUUGGUUUUUUUUUUUAGCUUCUUUUGCAUAUGUUUUGUAAGCAACGAAAAGAAUUUUUUUUUGUAUAAAAAAAAAAAAGUCUUGUACCCCACAUGCUUUUCUGCUGCUGUUUCUAUAGUUAAUGUUGCAUCUUUAGAAUCAACCAGAAUAUUAAAAUUGUAUUAAGAGAGACUGGAUAUAAAGAGAGGAAUUCUCAGAUUCGGCUCUGCAAGCCACUAAAAGCGAAUGUAGCCACAGCAAGGGGAUGUUCUUUCUUGCUUGGCUUGUACCUUCCAUUAGACAAAAACAAACUCAUGUGCUGAAGUCACCAUCUCUUUGCUUUUGGCCGCUUCUGAGUUGGGAAAAGGAAGUUAAACAGCAAAGCCAGUUGCAGCAGCAUCCGUCAGCUGUGCUCCCACUCCUUCUGGGAGGUGACCAAGGGCCAUUGAGGGUCUCUGCAAGAUUUGCUUUACUCCUGGAACAUCCCAGAAGCUGCAAUCCCACCUGGGAGAGGAAGUGCCCCACAGCCCACUCGCAACAUUGUGAUCCUGGAGCUGCCAGGAGGGAGCAGGCCUUGGGGGUGGAAGAGAACCGAGGGACUGGGACACUUUCAAGGUAAGCAAAGAAUCAACACAGAGGCAAGAGGAAAGCCCUGGCCGGAGGGAAGCGCUCCUUGCCCCUGCAUCCAAGCAAACGCCUGCUCCCAGAGGCGCUCCCAGAGGCACUUCCCGGGGCAGCGUGGAACAAAGAUGAACUGAACAAAGCUGGAGGACUGGGAAGAGGCCGAGGUGGAUGGAGCAAAGGCAGCAGCAGGACACGGUGCCAGCAAUCUUGCAGCAGCCAGAGCCAUGGAUGCUGGCGGCAGGCAGGGGAGCAGCGACCUGGCUCAUGCGCUCACUCCAGCCCUCAGCAAGCUGGGACCAGCAGCAGGAUCCAGCGCAACUUCUCCUCUCACUGGAGCCACCCCACCAGAAGGGCAGAACACUGCAGGCUUGUGGGGAGGGGUGGUGUCAUACCCCACCUUCACCCCCUGUCAUAUCUCCAAUCCAAUCCAAUCCAAUUAGAGGCAAUCUCAGCUCGGCACACUGCCUGGCUUGCCAUGGGGAUGUGAAGUGGCCACCAUCACCUCCACGUUGGCUCUUCUCUCCGUGCUGGAAAGGAGGGGAGCAAUGAGCACCCAUCCUGCACACCAUGCUCCAGCAGCCAAGCCAACAAUUCCUUCACUCCAAGGGCUUCCCAGUGUCACUUCUGACCACUCCGGUGUGCUCAGCGGGAGGAAGACCCUUAGCAUGCCUGGAGGUGCAGGAGCAAAUGAAGAGAUGCUCAGUGGUGCUGAGCUGUUGGUAGCCAUUCUGGAGUUGGCAAUGGAAAAGCAUCUACUGGAAAUUUAUUCUUGUUUCUUCCCUCUCCUUCCCCUUCUGAAGCAUGUUGUGCCCAGUUCUUCCCGGCUCUGCAGGUGGAUAGGGGUAGCUCCGGGGGGAACAAGUUAAAUCUCAUCUCAGAGGUGGCUGUAAUGCUCUUGGACUGGGGCUGGCUGCUGCGCAGAUCUGCCUGGCAGAGCCCAAUCGGGCAGGAUAGUUCAUGGGGCACGACUGCUGGUCGGGGGGGACAUGGGGACAGCAAGUACAGUAGGACCUGCAGCAGCAGGACCCAUCUCUCCCCUCUGCUUCUCUGGCCUGUGUUCCUGGGAAAGCUGUAUUGCUUUGGCAUAGGGAAAGGGCAGGACUGGCACACAAGAUGAAGUCCUACAGCACUUCCUAGCAAUCCCGGGCUUUGGUAUAACCUCCUGGUGCUCCUCUGUGCUCAUUGCUAUGCUUUGUGCUCCAGCAAAAUCUGCUGGAAAUGCUCAGGACAUUGAUCAUCUCCCACCUACACCUGGGUACCAUGGGCUCAGCCUCUGUAGCAUCUCAGAGAGGAGAUAAACUGCCAGAGCAGCAUGGAACCAUCUCUCUGCUGCCCCUGGCACUCUGCAACAUCCCACCAUAGCUCUGAGGCUUCCAUGUGCUCCUGGCUUUCCCAGCCUACAGCCUGCUGCUGCCACCAUCGCUUCUGUGUGGUGAGACCUGAGACCACAGCAGCCUCCAGCUCCAGGAAGGCUGGAAGGAUCAGUGGCUGUGGUCUCUGCAGCCGAGGAACAUGCGUUCUUCUCACCUGUGUCAACAGACAUGUUUCAGCCUAAUGAACUUAGGCUGUAACCUUUCAGUCAGGUUACAACACUCUUCCCUCCUUUGGGUCCUUCUGCCUGCUGAAGCACUGGGCAGUGUGAGGCAGAUGAGGUUUUCUUCCAUGGGUGACAGCAUUCCCCUGGGGAGCAGAUCCCCUUGCAGUACAAGCCAUGUCUUCCUGAAGCAUCCUGCCAUGUUGGGUUGUGCUUCAGAUGCUGGAGCAAGUGAAACAUGCAGGGAGGGGACAGUGCCUCUCUGCAGCCAGGUCUGGAUGCUGACACAACCCCUAUUUGUGCACUGCGGUAGGAACUGGAGACUCACCGGCUGCUCUCUGCUUCAUCCCACGAGCAGUCUUGCCCUUUCAUAAGGAUGGUGCUGAAGCCAUUGGCGUGCUCGAUGCUCAGGAUGUUCUGCUUCAAUGCCACUGCCCCAGGACCAGGGAGGGGUGGAGCAAUGUCCCAGCCCUGGCAAGCUUGAAACCAUGCAAAUAAAAAAAAAAACACAAAAAAAAAAGGAAGUGCUUCCCAACACUUGGAUUUUGUAACAAGCAUUUGAGGUGACGGUCAUGUACAACUGGAUUUGAGAGAGAUUGUAGCCAAGAAAAACCUGGAAACUCAACACAAUUGGAAAUUUGAGAAGAUUGAUGAUUCGUUCAACUCCUUCAUCCUGGCUGAUGCUCUGCAGGCCAGGGGGGACUCCUGAUGAAACGGAGCCUUUCCCACCAUCCCCACACCACCAGGCAUUGCAACAGAGAUGGGGCUUUUCAUCUGCAUUUAGGUGGUUUAGAUGCUGUUUCCUUGACAGCAAAACCAGCUUAAUGCCCUCGGCAAGGUUUGGAUGAAGGUCCUCAAACAUAAACCCUCCUUGGUGCCAGGGUUUGGAGGAGAUCUUGAUUGCUCCAGCAGGAAAGCGCAGUGUCGGGGGCUGGUAGUGCCCAGGAGCUGUCUCAGUGCCCAGGGAUCAAUUGUGGAAUGUGGCAAGGAAAAAUUCCUUUGGCUUGCCAGCGUGUUUGGCUCGGUGUGAAUGUGGUGCCUAUAACCUGACAGGGAAAGUGACUUUUCUGAAAAUAUGCACUGUUGGGUACUGCCCUCAAAAUGCCACCAAGCCUGCCCUGAAAUAUCAGCCUGUUGAAAUGAGACUUUUGUCUUUAUGUGUCAUGGUCAGAGAGGGCCAGGGUCUGUGCCCUCUCCAGCCCGUGGCUCUGCAGGCAUUCAGCUGUGCCAUUUACAGAUCACUUUUCUCCCCAGACUUGCUUCUCUGCCUGUAUGCGUGUCCCUCACAAAGAGAGGUGUCACGGGGAGGUGACAUGCUGCAGAGUGGCAUUUACUGUUCUGCUUCCUUUCUCAGCCUUGCAUGCAUGGGUUCUCCUGGGCUGUGUCCCCUUCAUCACUGGGGGCCACAACCCCCCUGCAAAGCUUCCUUCUUCAGAAAGGGACCUGGGGAAGAAGCCACCUUCCCCUGUGUGCAUUCUCUAGUUUCUCAUUUCCCAGGCUGCAGUCACAGAGCUGCAUCAAACGGCACAACUGGGGUCCCAGGGACACAACUUCCAUGGAAAGCUGCUUGUGUGGCACCUACCCUUGGUUUGGCCUGUGACCCACCAGUCAGACCUGCUCACAGCCGAGCAACUGGCGUGGCUUGAGUGCAGCUCCAGCUCUUUGCCAACAUCUCCUCGGGCUCUCUGCUCCCUGCUUUUACAGCUUGCACUAGGUAUCCUACAGAGGUGUGCUGGCAGGACCUGGGACAUCUGGAUCCCGCUCUGUGCCACUCUAGUCUGCACUGAGAGCAAGGGGCACAGCGGUGCCAAGGCAGAUGGUUUGCAUGCAUUGAUCCUGCAUCUGGCUGUCAGUAGCAGGUCGAUGCCAGCCCCCAGGCAGUGGGGUCAAUGUGCUGCCCCUUCCUUGUGCACCAUCACUGCAGGGCCAGGGGUCUGGAUGCUUUGCAGUUGGGGUUUUUUGCCCUGCCCAGUAGAGAAAUGCAGAAGUGUGAUGUGAAACCUCCCCAAGUGUGACUUCAGUGAAGGGGUUUUUCUCUCAGCCUGUGUGUCGGUGAUGAGCUGGGUUCCUAGAGGCUUGGCAGUUGCUGCCUGGUAGUGUUUGAACAGGAAGGAAAGAGGCAGGCUGGGAUUUCCCCAGGAGUCUGCAAUUUCAGGUUCAGUGCACAAGCUGCUCACAAAGGUCCUUCGUGUCUCACGCAUGUACCCACUAAAGCCAGCAGAGCCUUUGGACCCUGGGCCCUUGCUGUGCCAUUCAGCACAUCCUUCCCCUUGGCAGAUGGGGAGGGGGCCUUGAGAAACAGGAGGCUUUGGAAAACCCCGAUCCUCUGCACCCCUCAGCUUUGCUCCCAUGGGGAGGCUGCCAACUUCAGUGCCAGUGGAGCAAAUAGUCCUCUUGCAGGCCCUGCUGUGUGCUGUGCUGGUGGCUCUGGCCUGGGAUUUCAGAACAGAGCUGAAAAUGAGGAAGUGAAGCAAAGCUGGUACUGGAGUUGGGCCAGGACAAGCCAUCAGCCCCCAAGGUGCGGUGCUGGCUCACCUGGAGCAAGCCAUGGCCACUGGAUUCCCCUGUUCCUGCUCAACACCAGCAAUAGCAAGACCUGUUUUCUGUACCAUAAGCUUGCACAAGGUCUUUGCCCUGUUAAUCCUAUGCAACUCCCUCUCCUCUCCCCUGGGGCCCUCCAGAUCCUGUCCCAGUCCAUUCUUUCUGCUCUUGCCCAUGACUGCUGAGUUCCUGCUCCCUGCUGCUCUUAGAGUCCAGCUUCAUUUCUAGCAGCUCCAAAAGCAUUUCAAGGUGUGUGCUCUGGAGCUGGAAGGGGGUAGAGAAGGGGUGAGACCAUAGGAAUAUCCCUUCCAACUCAUGCUGCAGGAGCUGAGCACUGAAUUGGAGAGGGCAAGGCCUGGUCCUAGGGCUCCUCCAUGCACCCUUCACCCUCCUGUGCCUUCUGCUCAAUACUUGGUGGCUCACUGCCAGCAUCCUUCAUCUCACACUGUCUCCCCCAGUACCACUUGAAUGGAGAAGCUGUGUCCCACCUUAUUGCUGCCCAGCUCUACAGACUGCUCUGUUAAUGCCCGAGCCUUGGGCUUGGCUUGGCUGGUCUUCCUUCAACUUCCUCAAGGCUAAAGAUGUGUAUUCCUUCCUCCUGUGUACCCCAGUCUCCGCAGCCAGCACCUCCAAGCUAUUUCCCUUCAUGCACAGGCACCAUGGGUCUCUUCGCAGUGCGGCGGGACCAAGCCACCGUCUGCCCAUCUGCUGGGGCAGAGGCUUGAGGAUUCAGGAGAUGGAUGCUGUGGGUCAGUCCCAUGGCGUAGCUGUCUCUCCUCAUCCUGCUGCCUUGGGCUGGUGUGGGAGGACCCGGUGCUCUGCACAGAGGUUUGAUCUUCAAUUCACUCCUUCUGGAGAAUCAGCACUGCAGUGCCUUUGCCUGUGGGACUCCUGCAUGAGCCGAGCAUGGAGGUGGGCUCUGGUUAAGACAAUGCAGGCUGCGGGUGUCCUUUCUGCCAAACCUUGUGUGUCCAUCUUGCACCCCACCCUCUGGGGAUGCAAGAGGCAGCUCUGCCAUACAUCUCCACACUGGUAUUUCUGUUCCUCUGCUUUUGUACACCUUGAGUUUUGCAAUACCCACCGUGGUCCAGCCAAGCACCCACCAAGUUGGAAGGAGAGGGAAUAAAACUCAUUCCCUGUCACAUCUUGAUAUAGUGCAGGAGAGCACAGGGCUUUGUGCCUCAGAAUGGGGUGCCCCGGACACUGAGGCCUUUUGCUAAAGAGCAUCCCUGGGCUGUGCCACGGGAUCUGUGGAGCUCCCCAUGGCAGCGAGCUGGGGACCACCAUGGUUCCCCCUUCCCGGUGCUACGUCUUCCCAAAUCACUUGAAACCCACCAGCGUUUGAGCCCAACCACAUGCCUGGACCUGCAGCCUGCAGGAAAUGACCCCUUUUCUCUGGAGGGCUCCAGCUCAAUGGGGAAACAAAGUGUUCCUGGGUUGCUCUUUCGCUCUAUUUUUGUAGGACAGGGGGUGGGAGAUCCCUGCAGAAGUUGUUUAUUAUUCACCCCAUAGAAAGUUUUGGGUUGGUUUUGGAGGUUUUUUUGGCCUUCAAAAACAAACAAAAAAAAAUGGUCCUUGCUUUUGAUGUUUAUGCUGCCUACCUGUAAAUCCAGAUGUACUUAAGUGGCUGAAAUCCUUGUUCUUAAAUCAGAUACACAUUAUAGUUUUGAACUAUAUAUAUAGUAAAUAUAUAUAUAUAUGCCUAACCCAGCAAAAAAAAGAAAAAAAAAAGUAUUUGGGGGUGGGGAAAUGCGUUGUCCUUUGAAAUGAAUCACAAUUGGGGGAUAAAA